GCCUACCAAGGCAACGAUGCAUAUCCGAGCUGAGAGGCUGAUCGGACACACUGGGACUGAGACACGGCCCAGACUCCUACGGGAGACAGCAGUUAGGAAUAUUCGUCAAUGGGGGAAACCCUGAACGAGCAAUGCCGCGUGAGUGAUGAAGGCCCUAUGGGUUGUAAAACUCUGUUAUUUGGGAAGAAUGACUAGUAUAGGAAAUGAUAUUAGUUUGACGGUACCUUAUCAGAAAGCCCCGGCUAACUAC
rnacentral:rRNA from 1 species